GAUGAAGAACGUAGCGAAAUGCGAUAAGUAAUGUGAAUUGCAGAACUCAGUGAAUCAUCGAAUCUUUGAACGCACAUUGCGCCCCCUGGCCUUCCGGGGGGCAUGCCUGUUCGAGCGUCAUUUCACCACUCAAGCCUCGCUUGGUAUUGGGCAACGCGGUCCGCCGCGUGCCUCAAAUCGACCGGCUGGGUCUUCUGUCCCCUAAGCGUUGUGGAAACUAUUCGCUAAAGGGUGUUCGGGAGGCUACGCCGUAAAACAACCCCAUUUCUAAGGUUGACCUCGGAUCAGGUAGGGAUACCCGCUGAACUUAAGCAUAUCAAUAAGCGGAGGA
rnacentral:misc_RNA from 1 species